GACGAACGCUGGCGGCGUGCUUAACACAUGCAAGUCGAGCGGUAAGGCCCUUUCGGGGGGUACACGAGCGGCGAACGGGUGAGUAACACGUGAGCAACCUGCCCUUCACUUCGGGAUAAGCCUCGGAAACGGGGUCUAAUACCGGAUAUCACUCCUUACUUCAUGGUUUGGGGUUGAAAGUUUUGGCGGUGGGGGAUGGGCUCGCGGCCUAUCAGCUUGUUGGUGGGGUAAUGGCCUACCCAAGGCGUCGACGGGUAGCCGGCCUGAGAGGGCGACCGGCCACACUGGGACUGAGACACGGCCCAGACUCCUACGGAGGCAGCAGUGGGGAAUAUUGCGCAAUGGACGGAAGUCUGACGC
rnacentral:rRNA from 1 species